rnacentral:tRNA from 1 species
GCGGGUGUAGCUCAGUGGUAGAGCGCUACGUUGCCAACGUGGCUGUCGCUGGUUCGAAUCCAGUCACCCGCU